ensembl:lncRNA novel transcript, antisense to PELI1
AGUUCAUGCACCUGGCAGUGGCCUAAGGCGCAGAAGGACCAAACUGAGCGUACCUCCUCAUUUCCUUGAGUCACCUGUUUCACUUCUAAACCAAUGACUCUCAAAUUUGAGGGAGGAUCAGACUCACCUGGAGGCUGGGCCCCACCCCUAGAGUUUCUGAUUCAGCGGGUCUGGGGUGGGACCUGAGAAUUUGCAUUUCCGACAAGUUCCCAGUGAUGCCGCCGCUGCUGCUGGUCCAGGCACCACAGUUCAAGACCCACAGACGGAACUGGCCUCCUGUCAGUUUCUGAAUCGCCCCCGUGGCCGUGGAUCCACCCACAGCCUUCAUCUCUGCCUUGGGCUCUUGCUUCCUUCACUGCCUGUCUCCACGUGGAUCCCAGGCCUCCCUGGGAGCUCCCAGCUGGGAGGUGUCAAGCACUGCAGUAGAUUCUGAAGAUACAAAAAUAAAUAAAACAUUCCUGCCCUCAAGACACUUACACUCUUAUGUGUAACACUGUGUGACCAUUCAUCUGGGCCUUCCUGAGACAGUCUUGGUUUACACCUGUUUUCCCAAUCAGAGCAUCACUGCCUUUCCCACUAUUCUCCUGCAGAAGAGCAGGGGAAGGAAGCACCAGGGUCCAUCAUGGAGUUGUGACAACUGAGAUUCAGAGAUGUCCAAUCUACUCACAUAAAUAUUUCUAGCCCAUGACAGACUGACGUAUCUAAAAAUCAUAGAUUAGGUAAAGAAUGUGUGCAAAUUAAAAUCCAUGCACAGAAACCUAUGUGAGAAGAAGGAGCGUUGUCAUCGCAGACGUUUAACUGGGCCUGGUUGAAGAUGGCUGAGCGUAAAACAGAAUGCAAGUCAGCUGGAGCACGUACUACUGGAGGCAGAGCCCCAUGAGAAGGGGCCAAGAACCCGCACCCAUCAAAAUCAAGAAGAAAGGCUGAACCCGGAGAGAAAAGGGAGCAACUGAUGUUGCCAUGCAGAUCCCUUGGUUGCUAUGAGAUGGUAACAUCACUCUGCCCCACCAUUGGCCAGUGCCUCCUCAGCUGCGGUGCCUCCCAGGCUGUGUGGUUCUCACGCGGGCCACUGACACAGAGCUGUUACUAUGGUGAACUUUACAAUUUCCUUUGAUUGGUGGAUUUCAGAAAUAGGCCAUCAGCGGAAUUCAUUAUAUUCAGCUAAGUAAAAAUGAAAAAUAAAUACUAUAACUUUCCCCUCAUCACUAACAUGAAGGAAACGUGACCCUUCAUGACAUAAUAAAUCGCUGUUCGGUAACUUAGGAUCCUUCAGGGGACUGAAGCGGGAUGAUCCUCCUAUGCCAAAUUUGGGUGGGAAAGAUAUUCCCUGUAGCUUUGAGUCGACUCUUCAGAGUUAAGGGCAGUGGGCCAACCAGAGUUGGAACUUCAGAGUUGGGAGGAGGUGUGGGAUGGGGCAUGCAUUGAAAUGUAAACUCUAUUGUCUCUGAAGUGAUGGGUGAUGCUGGGGGCCUGAGUGUGGAGGGCAGUUUUACAUCUCAGGACAAUGUUUUCUCAGAUGCUCUUCCAGAAAGAAAAGCCAGGAGUACUCCUGGCUGGAGGCGGCAUGCCUGAGGUCAGAGUCAAAGUAGGGUUUGUGCUGUCUGAAUCCUUUCUCCCACUCUCCCCAGCCUGGCUCAGCUUCUCAGCUUCUCAGGUGGAUUGGUGAGUCCUGGCCAAUUACGCUUCAGCUCAUCUCUACUCUCAGCAAAUAGGAAAAGGGAGUGAAGGACUGAGUUUUAACUCUUCUAAUUUCGUAACCUGACUCUCUAUAAGAAAAAGUAGGAGAAAGACUGAAGAACCCGAGAGAACAGGCCUCUGAGCCCAAGCCAAGCCAUCGCAUCCCCUGUGACUUGCCCGUAUAUAUGCCCAGAUGGCCUGAAGUAACUGAAGAAUCACAAAAGAAGUGAAUAUGCCUUGCCCCACCUUGACUGAUGACAUUCCACCACAAAAGAAGUGUAAAUGGCCGGUCCUUGCCUUAACUGAUGACAUUACCU